rnacentral:lncRNA from 1 species
CUUAUUACACUUUGGCUCACAUUUUUCUUGUUUUUUGGCUAUGUUAACUGUGGGCUUAUGGUGUGUACUCUAGUACAGAAUUUAUAGUUGCCAGGCAUAUGGGUAAGAUUCUGUGCACAUUUUUUUCAUGUAUUUUGUUGAGAGGAAGUAUCCUUUAGAAAACAGAGAGGUUGAAAAAAGACAUUCUUUUAAGAAGUGAAGAUAUGGCUGCUUUUAGUAAGCUUUUUAUCGGUUAUACUGAAGUGUGUUCUAAAACUAUUGUCACAAUCCUGAAUUCCUGAUCCUUCAUUCCUCUCGGACCAUGUCUAAAAUAAACCAAACCUCUGUGUUUAUAUUUUUUGGUAAAAAUAAUUUCUUGCCUAUUGCAAUUAGGUAUAGACUAAAAAAUUUCAGUGCGAGAGUUCAGGCAUCACUAUGGUGCCAUACUGACCAAUGCAACAAGAUGUAUACUUCCAGUUCGGGGAACAUGCAUUUUGUAGGGAGUACAAUAUUGCUUGCACAUAUUCAGACUUGCCGCUGGUAGAACUGAUAUAUUAGUAGGUUACUAGCCCAAAAUAUAGUUAUAAUGAUGAACCUUUCAGCUUAAUGUUUAUGUCUUGCAGAUCAUUAUUUGAAUGUUUUCUUUUGUAUAUGUAGACACAAAAACAAAAUGUAUAGGUUAGUUUGAUGUGUUACACCUGUCUUUCCUCUCUGAAGUUGUAUAUUCUUGUUCUAUUAUGGAAGUGUUAGUUUUUUUGUUCUGAAUACUGUUGUAAGCGCUGCUCAUGAGUUCAUUUAUACUUCUGUGAGUGGCUAAUAGAAAAGACAAUGUGUUAGUGUCUAAUAAAAAAGACAAUGGGUGUCAAAUAGAAAAGACAAUGUGUUGGUGUCUAAUUUGUUUCUUUUAUACUUCUGUUAGGAGCACCUUUCUUAACUUUCUCCUUUUUAACGAUCAUUUUCUUUUUCAGUGGACUAAUCAAAUGCAAGCUAUGAGGAGCUAAAAGAAGUAGGAUAUUACGAGCAAGGGACUCUACCUUUAUGGGUUUGAUUGUUGUCGCAUAAUCAAUGGACUGCACCAACUGCUAUUGAAGAAGUAUAUGUAGAAUGCAUAGUUAUGGUGUGAUAGGGCCAGUGUUGUUGUCUGACAGUUGUGCAUUCUUCACCUUGGAUGGUCAAAGAUAUGUUCGCUAGCCUGAUGCUGCUCCAUCGGUGGAUCUACAGGUAUAACCAUUUCUUCAUUGCUUGACGUAGGUAUAGAGUUGGGAUAUAAUAUUGCGCAGAAGAAGAGCACAGUUGCUUUUACAGUUUUAGAAGGUGCUGCAAGAUUAAUUUGCAUUGUUCUCGUAUAUGAUUUUCAGAUUGUUCUAUUAUGAAGUAUUGGUUUAUUAUUGAGGUAGCCUUAGACGGAGGAGCUGAAUGCAGUUUUUGUAUCUUUUUUCAAUGUCCUGAAUGGUCCCAUGAAAAUCCUG